rnacentral:lncRNA from 1 species
AAUGUAUAAAUGUCCAAAUAAAAGUGAUAAAGUAUAAAAUAAAUAAUAGACAAAAUUAAAAUAAAUGUAAUGAACAAGAGAAUGCACAAAAAUAUUUGAUUAACAAGAAAUAAGUGAUAAAAGAAAUAGAAUAAAAAUGGAAAAGAAAACAAAUAAAAAUGAAGAAAAAAAUAAAAUAAAAAGUAAAAGUAAGAAAAAUAAAACAAAUGGGGGCGAUGGGGGUUGAACCCCUGACCUUGGGGUCAUGGUCCAUUUCACUGACCAAGGGCUCUUGGGUGUUAACUAGCACGCCUCAUAAAAAUAAAUAAGAAAAUCCAAUCAUAAAUAAAUAACGGGUCAAUCCCACCCAUCUGAUCAAGUCACUUAUGAUUAGUAAGCACAUUGAAUGGUUCAAAU